rnacentral:rRNA from 1 species
AAUCGUACCCCAAACCGACACAGGUGGUCAGGUAGAGAAUACCAAGGCGCUUGAGAGAACUCGGGUGAAGGAACUAGGCAAAAUGGUGCCGUAACUUCGGGAGAAGGCACGCUGGCAUGUAGGUGAAGUCCUUCGCGGAUGGAGCUGAAGCCAGUCGAAGAUACCAGCUGGCUGCAACUGUUUAAUAAAAACACAGCACUGUGCAAACACGAAAGUGGACGUAUACGGUGUGACGCCUGCCCGGUGCUGGAAGGUUAAUUGAUGGGGUCAGCCGCAAGGCGAAGCUCUUGAUCGAAGCCCCAGUAAACGGCGGCCGUAACUAUAACGGUCCUAAGGUAGCGAAAUUCCUUGUCGGGUAAGUUCCGACCUGCACGAAUGGCGUAAUGAUGGCCAGGCUGUCUCCACCCGAGACUCAGUGAAAUUGAACUCGCUGUGAAGAUGCAGUGUACCCGCGGCAAGACGGAAAGACCCCGUGAACCUUUACUAUAGCUUGACACUGAACAUUGAGCCUUGAUGUGUAGGAUAGGUGGGAGGCUUUGAAGCGUGGACGCCAGUCUGCGUGGAGCCAUCCUUGAAAUACCACCCUUUAAUGUUUGAUGUUCUAACUCGGCCCCAUAAUCUGGGGUGAGGACAGUGUCUGGUGGGUAGUUUGACUGGGGCGGUCUCCUCCCAAAGAGUAACGGAGGAGCACGAAGGUUAGCUAAUCACGGUCGGACAUCGUGAGGUUAGUGCAAAGGCAUAAGCUAGCUUGACUGCGAGAGUGACGGCUCGAGCAGGUACGAAAGUAGGUCUUAGUGAUCCGGUGGUUCUGAAUGGAAGGGCCAUCGCUCAACGGAUAAAAGGUACUCCGGGGAUAACAGGCUGAUACCGCCCAAGAGUUCAUAUCGACGGCGGUGUUUGGCACCUCGAUGUCGGCUCAUCACAUCCUGGGGCUGAAGUAGGUCCCAAGGGUAUGGCUGUUCGCCAUUUAAAGUGGUACGCGAGCUGGGUUUAGAACGUCGUGAGACAGUUCGGUCCCUAUCUGCCGUGGGCGUUGGAAGAUUGAGAGGGGUUGCUCCUAGUACGAGAGGACCGGAGUGAACGCACCACUGGUGUUCGGGUUGUCAUGCCAAUGGCAUUGCCCGGUAGCUAAGUGCGGAAAAGAUAAGCGCUGAAAGCAUCUAAGCGCGAAACUUGCCUCAAGAUGAGUCUUCCCUGGGCCUUUAAGGCCCCUGAAGGAACGUUUAAGACUAAGACGUUGAUAGGCUGGGUGUGUAAGUGCAGCGAUGCAUUGAGCUAACCAGUACUAAUGAUCCGUGAGGCUUAACCUU